rnacentral:rRNA from 1 species
GGGCCCGCACAAGCGGUGGAGCAUGUGGUUUAAUUCGAUGCAACGCGAAGAACCUUACCUGGUCUUGACAUACACAGAAUCUUGUAGAGAUACGAGAGUGCCUUCGGGAAUUGUGAUACAGGUGCUGCAUGGCUGUCGUCAGCUCGUGUCGUGAGAUGUUGGGUUAAGUCCCGCAACGAGCGCAACCCUUAUCCUUAGUUGCCAGCACGUUUGGGUGGGCACUCUAAGGAAACUGCCGGUGCUAAGCCGGAGGAAGGCGGGGAUGACGUCAAGUCCUCAUGGCCCUUACACGCGGGGCUACACACGUGCUACAAUGGCAGUGACAAUGGGAUAAUCCCAAAAAGCUGUCUCAGUUCAGAUCGUAGGCUGCAACUCGCCUACGUGAAGGAGGAAUCGCUAGUAAUCG